rnacentral:rRNA from 1 species
AACGCGAAGAACCUUACCAGGGCUUGACAUCCUACUAACGAAGCAGAGAUGCAUUAGGUGCCCUUCGGGGAAAGUAGAGACAGGUGGUGCAUGGUUGUCGUCAGCUCGUGUCGUGAGAUGUUGGGUUAAGUCCCGCAACGAGCGCAACCCUUAUCGUUAGUUGCUACGCAAGAGCACUCUAGCGAGACUGCCGUUGACAAAACGGAGGAAGGUGGGGACGACGUCAAAUCAUCAUGCCCUUUAUGUCCUGGGCUACACACGUACUACAAUGGCGGUUAACAGAGGGAGGCAAACCCGCGAGGGGGGGCGAAACCCUAAAAACCGUCUCAGUUCAGAUCGCAGGCUGAAACCCGCCUGCGUGAAGGUGGAAUUGCUAGUAAUCGCGGAUCAGCAUGCCGCGGUGAAUACGUUCCCGGGUCUUGUACACACCG